rnacentral:rRNA from 2 species
CUGGCGGCAAGCCUAACACAUGCAAGUCGUGCGGCAGCGUAAAAAAUAUUUAUAUUUUUGGCGGCGAGCGGCAAACGGGUGAGUAAUAUCUGGGGAUCUACCUAAAUGAGGGGGACAACCACUGGAAACGGUGGCUAAUACCGCAUAAUGUUGAAAAACUAAAGUAGGGGAUCUAUUUAUAUAGACCUUUCGCGUUUAGAUGAACCCAGAUGAGAUUAGCUUGAUGGUGAAGUAAUAGCUUACCAUGGCAACGAUCUCUAGCUGGUCUGAGAGGAUGGCCNGCCACACUGGAACUGAGACACGGUCCAGACUCCUACGGGAGGCAGCAGUGGGGAAUAUUGCACAAUGGGCGCAAGCCUGAUGCAGCUAUGCCGCGUGUAUGAAGAAGGCCUUCGGGUUGUAAAGUACUUUCGUCAGGGAAGAAAAGGAUAAUGCUAAUAUCAUUAUACAUUGACGUUACCUGAAAAAGAAGCACCGGCUAACUCCGUGCCAGCAGCCGCGGUAAUACGGAGGGUGCAAGCGUUAAUCAGAAUUACUGGGCGUAAAGAGCGCGUAGGCGGUUAUUUAAGUCAGAUGUGAA